AAAGAUUAAGCCAUGCAUGUAUAAGUAUAAACGCAUUAAGCGUGAAACCGCGAACGGCUCAUUACAACAGCUAUAAUUUACUUGAUCUUGACAAACUUACAUGGAUAACUGAGGUAAUUCUUGAGCUAAUACAUGCACCAAAGCUUUGCCCGUAAGGGAAGAGCGCAUUUAUUAGAACAAAACCAAACGGCUUCGGCUGUUCCCAGUUGAAUCAGAAUAACUCAGCUGAUCGUACGGUCUUGCACCGACGACGUGUCUUUCAAGUAUCUGCUUUAUCAACUUUCGAUGGUAGGGUAUCUGCCUACCAUGGUGGUGACGGAUAACGGAGGAUCAGGGUUCGACUCCGGAGAAGGGGCCUGAGAAAUGGCCACUACGUCUAAGGAUGGCAGCAGGCGCGCAAAUUACCCACUCUCAGAAUUUGGAGGAGGUAGUGACGAGAAAUAACGAGGUUGAUCUCUUCUGAGGCCAACCAUCGGAAUGGGUACAAUUUAAACCCUUUAACGAGUAUCUAUGAGAGGGCAAGUCUGGUGCCAGCAGCCGCGGUAAUUCCAGCUCUCAAAAUGCAUAGAAUUAUUGCUGCGGUUAAAAAGCUCGUAGUUGGAUCUGCAGCCGGAGCUCCGGUCUAUCUACGGAUAUGUACUGGAUGUCUUUGGCUUUCUGACAGUGUUCGGCUCUGUGCCUCUCAACAGGUGUGGAUGUCCGAUACUGUAAGUUUACUUUGAAUAAAUCAGAGUGCUCUAAACAGGCGUUUUGCUUGAAUGAUUGUGCAUGGAAUAAUAGAAGAGGAUUUCGGUUCUAUUUUAUUGGUUUUAUAGACUGAGAUAAUGGUUAACAGAGACAAACGGGGGCAUUUGUAUGGCUACGUGAGAGGUGAAAUUCUUGGACCGUAGCCAGACAAACUACAGCGAAAGCAUUUGCCAAGAAUG
rnacentral:rRNA from 1 species